GAUGAAGAACGUAGCGAAAUGCGAUAAGUAAUGUGAAUUGCAGAAUUCAGUGAAUCAUCGAAUCUUUGAACGCACAUUGCGCCCGCUAGUAUUCUGGCGGGCAUGCCUGUCCGAGCGUCAUUUCAACCCUCAAGCCCCCGGGCUUGGUGUUGGGGAUCGGCGAGCCUCCGCGCCCGCCGUCCCCUAAAUCUAGUGGCGGUCUCGCUGUAGCUUCCUCUGCGUAGUAGCACACCUCGCACUGGGAAACAGCGCGGCCACGCCGUUAAACCCCCAACUUCUGAACGUUUGACCUCGGAUCAGGUAGGAAUACCCGAUGAACUUAAGCAUAUCAAUAAGCGGAGGA
rnacentral:misc_RNA from 1 species